GCAUCUUUAAUCUUUAUAUUCUUUUCCAUCUAAACUUUGAUUCAGAUCAGAUAUUUAAAAUCUGCAGAGCCAGGAAUCUGUCUGGGAGAGCUCAAUAAAUAAAUUUUCCUUCUGCUGUAUUUUAAAUUAAAAUUUAAUGUUUGUGGGUUUAUGUUAUUAGCAUAAGUAUGUUAUUCAUUAAUAGGAUUUUUGUUUCAAGCAUUGAAGGGGAAAGAACAUCGAGGUCUAAAUCAAAUUUCAAAUGCCAUAAAAUUUUACCCAUUUCUUCCAUUAGCCCAUUUCACUUUUUCUUAUUUGAAAGUAAGGAUGUUUUGAAAUUUCAAUGCUUUGAAAAAUAGUUUUCUUUUAACACACUCACCUUCAUACCCUUUUCAGCCCUAUAAGUCAAUAUUGCCAUAGAGGUAUAAUAUCACUCUACAGAUCAAGCAUGUGAUUCAUAGUGGCCUCUGCUUCUGCUUAGGCAGUUUGGUAGAUGAUAAACUAAGAUUUAUUUAUAGAUUAAGGCCAAAGAGAUAUUUUGCUGAAAUAAAAAGGUUGAAUGCUCCAGCUUCCAGAUGUUAAUUUCAGCAAGAACUGGUCUAAACAGAGAUUCCAUCUUGCUAAUGCUGAGAAUAAUAAAUACACCCACCAGAACGUUUCAGUUAUUAACUCUGAGAAGCCUUGUGAAUUUACCCAAGCCUGGUCAGAUUUCCAUAAGUUGUUUGUGAGUGUAUUUUUAACAGAAAAGGGGGAAGCUUGAGCAGUUAUGGUGCUUAGAUUGUUCAGGAAUGAUGAGAGCUGAACUUCUGUAUACUAUUUACAAAGGAUGUGAAAGAACCUUGAACACUUAGGCAGUAGCACUCUCAUCUUUCUGGUCAUGUUAUGAAGACACACCCUUUUGGCUUGUCCUCGUGGUGCAUGGGGAAUUCUUAAUUCCUGGGGUUUUAUUAAAAAAAAAAAUCCCAUUUUUCUUAAUUCCUGUUAUUUUAAUCAAUAAAAGUUACAGUUAGCUACUCACCUGGUUUCCUUCCCUUUUAACAUUCUGUUUCCCACAAAUAUAUGCUGUGUCCAGAUCAAACCCCAAAGAAAUGUGUUUUCUCUUAGUGCUUGUACAUUUGCAGGUGCACCACACCAAACCAAACUCAUUCCAAGGCUGGUCAGAGAUGUUCACUACAAGGAACUUAAGAAAACAGGAUGUUUUUCUUCUCUCCCAGGCCUGUGCUCUACCAGUCUGACCUGCUUAUCCUCCUUGUUCUGCCAUUCUCUUUUCUGAUAUUCAGGAAUCAGGUUGUGCCAUUUAAUUUAUUCCUACGCUUUUCACCUUGCCUUUAUGUCAGUGCUGGAUGUUUAUAAAUGCUUAAAAAAUUUUUCAAAAAGGCAGAAAGAGUACCAUCAGGAUCAAAACCAGUUUUAACUUCCCGGGUGCAGUUCACCUGGCUGCUUUUCAGAGCCAGUAAUUGCUUCAGAAGGACUCAGGGCAUAAAUGUGACUAGAAAUAGGACCCCUUCUAGCCAUAACUAAUUUUAACAGCAUUUUGCAUAGAAGUGUUUCAAAAUGCUUUAUGUUGUCCUAAUCUCACAGGUAAAAAACUGAGUCAUCAGAAGGUUUAAAUGUGCCAUUAGACCAGACAGUGGGCUUGGACAUAAUUUUCUGACUUCCAGUCCUGUCCUUUGAUCACAGGAUUUCUUCAGUGCAUUCAAGCAUAUAAUUUCUGUUCAUUGUCCCACAUGUAUUACUUGUGUCAGGAUGAAUCACAUCUCUCUACAUAUGGUAUAAAACUGUAAGUCAGCUCUUACAUAUUUAUUUAUUUAUUAUAUUAAUUUUUGAAGUGCCUGGUGGCCUAGCAUCCAUCCAGCAGCAUCCAACAGCAUCCUAGCAACAACUCUUGACACACAAAGUUGAUCAUUCUGUCAUGUUUAUUGUAUUCCAUAAAGAUUUUGUUUUAGUCUCAGGGAAAAUGAGGUUGAAAUAGUUUAUUUUAUAAAAAUCUUGACAGUUUAUAAAUUUCUUAAAGAUGGAUAUUGCUUGCUAUGUUGUUGAAAUGGUAAAAAGUCCUCUCUGGUGCAAGUUGAUUGACAUAAUAAUAGGUUAUAGCUUUUUCAAGUGUACUUUGAAAGCUGUAUGAGGCAGAGUAAAAAGCCUCAAGGCUCAUUGCAGUUUCACAGCUUGAUUUUCUAGUAGGCUCCCAACUGUCACUCAUGUGACAGGUUCCACGUGAUAACCUAGCUCCUGACCAUCUAAGCCCUUUUCCCAGCGUGGCAGUGGUGUGGUGCACAAGGCAAUGUGCUCACAGGGGAGAGCUUUCCAGCUGAGCUGCUCAGGGUUUCACAGGGAAGUCUCAGAAGUUCCUGGAGGAAGCCUGGACAUCUGUGAAUGGCCUUGUUACCUCCAAGGCCUCUCCAGGAACAAGGACAGUGGGCACAAACAAACACGGGAAGAUCUGUCUGGUGAAAAGGGAAAACUGUACUUUGAAGGUGACAGGGCACUGGACAGGCUGCCCAGAGAAGCCAUGGGGUGUCCUUAUCUGGAAAUACUCAAGACUCACCUGGACUUGAUCCUGUACAACCUGCUCCAGAGCUCCAGAGCUCUACAGCCACAGGAAGCACAGAGGACUGCUGGGGAGGAGAAUUGCUUCCCUGGCUCCUGCAGCUUGGACACAACCAUGGAGCAAUCAGGAGGGUAAUCAAGGAGAAAGCAUACAAGAAUUGCCACAAGAACAUUGUGUCUUACUAGGAGUUCCUAGUGCUGGUGAAAUUCAGAGUUUAUGUUUUCUCAAAACAUCUUGAAAGAGAACUGAAGUCUCACUGCAGUGAGCAAACACAGAAUCUUUACUGGCUUUCCUAGAUUCUGGUUCUUGCUCCUCUUCCCUUAAAAUAUUUUGGACUGUGUAGCAGAUCCAGCUCUGCAGUCUGCACUUGAAGAUGUGGCACACUAGCAAGGAAAUAAUCUUUCUGGCCCCACCAGCAACUACUUACAGUGGAAAGCAACAGUGGGAAGCCAUUAUGUAGCUAUUGAUGAUGUUAUCAAAAUGUAUUACUAAGAGAAAGAUGAAAAGCUGUCCACUGAUCUUUUUAGAAUGACUGACAAAAAGCUUCCAAACCAUUCCGUGAACACUGAACUCCCUGCUUACCUUUACAAGUCUUUCUGUCCCACUGUCUUUGGGCACAGGAAGCUCCAAGUGGUAGAAACCCACAGGUAGGCCAAAGCAGGAGUACUGAAGGGAUGUUAGAAGGGUAGAUGGAGUGAUGCUGUCCUCUGAUGGAUUCAUUGCCCAGAUUUAUGUGUUUCUAUAAAAACCUGCAGUGCUGUUCUCAGACCCUCAGUGGUGGACCAGUGGAAUUCAUGAGAGAGCAGCUCUGGGACAAUCACUUCCAGUUCAGUAACACUUUGUCUUCCUUUGCUUUGCUAAAUUGCAUAAAGUCAAUGGUUCAAGGUCAAUUUCCAUGUGCUUCUUAGAGUGUCCCCAAACCAGCUCUGACAUAGUCAGAUCUUUCUUACAAGGCAGCACCACAGUGUGAUGAAGGAAGUAAAACAAUCCCAAAUACCUGAACCUUCAGAAUCUACUCUUAAAAAAAAAAAAAAAAAAAGGGCAAACAAAACAAACAACAAAAAAAGCACCUUUAAAAUCCCCUUGACGAAUUUCAGGUCACAGCUUAUUGGUGGUUCACUUUGUGCCAGUCAGAGAUUUACAUUUCCCCCACCAAGAAGGAAAACCUUUCUACCACAAAAGUUGAUGCCAAAACCUAACCCUCUGGCCAAAGCUAUUUUCCCUACAAUAACGUCUCUCUUGCUUACUCUUUUAUAAAACAACUCUUUAACUGUU